AUGCCGGUUAUACAGUGGUUAUCCCCACUGUGGAAGGCACCGUUACCCUUGAAGAUUAAGAUUUUUGUUUGGCAGCUUCUCCGAGACUGUCUACCUUCGGGGACCGAGGUCCUGAAACACCAUGGUCCGGGCAAUGGACUUUGGCCUUUGUGCCAUGUCCCAUAAACGGGAACGCACAUUUUGUUUUCUUGCGUAGCAGCGCAGGCACUUCGUUCUUCGUACGUGAGGCUUUAG
rnacentral:rRNA from 1 species